rnacentral:rRNA from 1 species
CAAUAGCGUAUAUUAAAGUUGUUGCGGUUAAAAAGCUCGUAGUUGGAUCUCGGCAGGCAGGGGGUGGUUCGCUCUUAGCGCUACUGCCCCAUUUGCCUGUGUGAUUGGCGGAGGUUUCGGGGUGCUCUUCGUUGAGUGACCCGGGGCGCCGUCAGGUUUACUUUGAAAAAAUUAGAGUGCUCAAAGCAGGCUUUUCACGCUUGGAUAUUCGUGCAUGGAAUAAUGGAAUAGGAACUCGUUUCUAUUUUGUUGGUUUUCGGAAAUCGAGUUAAUGAUUAAUAGGGACAAUUGGGGGCAUUAGUAUUCAGACGACAGAGGUGAAAUUCUUGGACCGUCUGAAGACUAACUACUGCGAAAGCAUUUGCCAAGAGUGUUUUCAUUAA